rnacentral:misc_RNA from 1 species
GAUGAAGAACGUAUCGAAAUGCGAUAAGUAGUGUGAAUUGCAGAAUUCAGUGAAUCAUCGAAUCUUUGAACGCACAUUGCGCCUUCUAGUAUUCUGGGAGGCAUGCCUGUUUGAGCGUCAUUAAACCUCUCUCAAGUAUGAUUACUUGGAUGUGAAGGAAGAGUACCUUAAACUUAAGGAGUGUUCUCCUUUGAAAUUGAUUAGCAGAUGGUAAUGUUAUUAAAUCCCUGAUGUUGUAAGAAAUAACAGUGGUUUUGUAGACUAUUAUCUAGCUUUAAAUUAUAAUUUUUAUUAUGGUUGACCUCAAAUCAGGUAAGGAUACCCGCUGAACUUAAGCAUAUCAAUAAGCGGAA